AUUGAACGCUGGCGGCAUGCCUUACACAUGCAAGUCGAACGGUAACGGGCCUUCGGGUGCCGACGAGUGGCGAACGGGUGAGUAAUGUAUCGGAACGUACCUUUCAGUGGGGGAUAACGUAGCGAAAGUUACGCUAAUACCGCAUAUUCUGUGAGCAGGAAAGCAGGGGAUCGCAAGACCUUGCGCUGAUUGAGCGGCCGAUAUCAGAUUAGCUAGUUGGUGAGGUAAAGGCUCACCAAGGCGACGAUCUGUAGCGGGGCGGAGAGGAUGAUCCGCCACACUGGAAAUGAGACACGGUCCAGACUCCUACGGGAGGCAGCAGUGGGGAAUUUUGGACAAUGGGGGCAACCCUGAUCCAGCCAUGCCGCGUGAGUGAAGAAGGCCUUCGGGUUGUAAAGCUCUUUCGGCCGGGAAGAAAUCGUAUGGGUUAAUACCCUGUGCGGAUGACGGUACCGGCAUAAGAAGCACCGGCUAACUACGUGCCAGCCGCCGCCGUAACAC
rnacentral:rRNA from 1 species